GGGGAGGGUUCCAGUGCUGCAGGAGAUUCUUUGGGCUUUCUGCCUCUCCAGGAGGACCUGUGAGGACUGCAGCAGAGCACAGGGGGUACCACAGAUAUCGGACUGAAUCUUCCAGCUAUUUUUAUGAAGAGGCAGAGGAAAUCUGUGCCAGUAUGAACUCUGGUUCCUUCAUGUCCAUGAAUGCUUUAAUUGGCUUCAGAGUUAGGAAUGCAUUAACAAAGCUGAUUCUGUGAUUCUACGCAUCUGGAUUUCAGGCCCCAAGAGUUAAGAAGCAAGUUCUGGAAGAAGUGAUGUCCCAUCAGUAAUCACUCAUUAUGGCAUAGAGAACAAAGGGAGCUGGAUGAUUUUCCCUUGAUGUGGACACUUUCUCUCUAGGAUUUUUGGUGGCACCCUUGUUGAAGGUCAGACAGACCCCUGCACUGCAUUGCUGAUGCUGUGAGCAGCACCGUGAGGAGCAGCUGAGGUGUUUAUAUUCUGUGCAACUGCUGUUUUAAAUGCUGCCCUUUGGGAGUUGCAAGAUGAGGCCUCAGGUGGCU